AUGAUCCAUGGAUAUUCAACUUUGGGCCGGUGGAAAGAGGCGGGUAAAAUUUUCAGAGAAAUGACAAGCCGGUGUCUUAUACCAGAUAUUUUCACUUGGAACUCGUUCAUGGGCUCCCUUUGCAAGUAUGGAAGAAGCAAAGAAGCUGCAGAAAUUUUCUUUUCCAUGGCUGCAAAGGGCCACAAACCUAAUAUUGUCUCCUACAUUAUUCUUCUUCGUGGGUAUGCCAAUGAAGGAAGCUUUGCUGAUAUGAUGAGUCUAUUUAAUUCAAUGGAAGGCAACGGUAUUGUAGCCAACUGCCAAGUUUUCACAAUAUUAAUUGAUGCAUAUGCUAAACAAGGAAUGAUUGAUGAAGCUAUGCUCAUACUUACUGACAUGCGGGGACAAGGACUGAGUCCGGAUGUAUUCACCUAUUCAACUCUAAUAUCUGCACUUUGCAGAAUGGGUAGGCUGGCUGAUGCUAUGGAUAAGUUCAGUCAGAUGAUUGGUGUUAGAUGUGUA
rnacentral:rRNA from 1 species